GGCAGGGGGAGCAGCAAAGACUCCAUAGCGUGUAGCAGGAAGUCAGUGACAACAACUGUGAUAUUAAUUAUGUUAGCUUACAGAAAAAAGAGGAGGAUUUUGGUGGAGGUGGGUUACAAAGCGGCUUGCAGUUGGUGAAACAACUGCAGGAAGCCUUAAAAGGUGCCUCCUGGCAGCAUAUAUAUGCACAUACUGUUUUGUUUUGUUUUUUUUACCUUACCUCAUUUUGACUUUUCUUUCUUUCUUUUUUUAAAAUCACUGUUGUGUUUACAGAUUUUUGCUCAUAGUAUACGGCCCUUACCAGGCAUCUGUGGCACUGUAACUCUGUUGUUCAUUUGUACUACUUUUCAGUCUUUAUCAUGCUCCUGUGACACAACCAUUUAUCUUCUGGGAUCAAUAAGCUCUUCACAGUGCGCCGUUUCCUGAGACAAGGCUUUGAAGUGGAUGAGGGAGGUGAGACACCAUGCGCCCAGAUGCCCAGCCGCUGUGGUUAAAGGGUCUUUAUCACGCAGACAAGGGGGACAGCACUCAGCUCUUGCCCUUCUAUCUUUCACCGCGGCAGAAGAGUGAUUUUGACAACCAGCGCUCCCCAGCUGCGCAGGGGCCAGGCCUGCAAAACCACAGGCGGAUAAUGAAUGCCACACCAUCGUGACAACUUGCACUUUUAUGGAAAGGGGAGGAAGGACACUUGUGCUCACAGCGUAUGAUGGGACGUCCUCCAUAAACCAGACAAUCAAAGCGAGGGCAGAUAAGCAUCUGUGGAAUCUGUGACGGGAACCUCCGCUGAUUUAUGGGCACUACUGGAAAAGGUUUGUUUCCAAGUGAACGUGUUUAGAGGUAACCAAAGAAGAAAUACAACUUUCCCAAUGCAACCACGGCAUCUGUAAAUGAUAAACCACAGUUGCAUUAUCCAUGAUCUUCCUUGCUUUCCUGAGCUGAACAAGCCACAUGCUAUUUAUGAAGAACUUCCUCCAAAAUGAGGAGACUUGAGGUUUUCCAAUUAGGUCAGAUUGCUAUUCUUGGUUUUUCUUGACUCUCGCAGUCGUGUUAUUUGUAUUCUGUACAUCAGAGGAAUUAUACAUCCAUUUGCUUUCAAGGCAAACGUUACUAGAAAAGGAGCAGCUUUGAUCUUCUUCCAAUAGACACGCU
ensembl:lncRNA